rnacentral:misc_RNA from 1 species
AAGUCGUAACAAGGUUUCCGUAGGUGAACCUGCGGAAGGAUCAUUAUUGAAUAUUCCUGAUGAGUUGUAGCUGGCUCUUUGGAGCAUGUGCACGCUUGUCUUGAUCUUAUUCAUCCACCUGUGCACAUUUUGUAGUCUUUUGGGCUGAGUCGAGUAUCGGAUGGAUGUCUAUCCGGAUGUGAGGACUGCUGAGUGCGAAAGCAUACGGCUCUUCUCUGUUUGACCUCACCCUUGAGUACUAUGUAUUCAUAUACCACAUAGUAUGUUGUAGAAUGUGAUGAUUGGGCCUUUGUGCCUAUAAUAAUCAUAUACAACUUUCAACAACGGAUCUCUUGGCUCUC